UCCCCGUUAACCGGGGCAGUCCCCCUAGAGUUCCCGGCAUGACCCGUUGGCAACUAGGGGCGAGGGUUGCGCUCGUUGCGGGACUUAACCCAACAUCUCACGACACGAGCUGACGACAGCCAUGCAGCACCUGUCACCGGCCAAUUGAAGAACUCCGUCUCCGGAGCCCCGACCGGGAAGUCAAGAGCUGGUAAGGUUCUUUGCGUUGCGUCGAAUUAAACCACAUGCUCCGCUGCUUGUGCGGGUCCCCGUCAAUUCCUUUGAGUUUUAGCCUUGCGGCCGUACUCCCCAGGCGGGGCACUUAAUGCGUUAGCGUCGGCACGGGAGGAGUCGACACCUCCCACACCUAGUGCCCAUCGUUUACGGCGUGGACUAC
rnacentral:misc_RNA from 1 species